GCUGAAACUUAAAGAAAUUGACGGAAGGGCACCACAAGGCGUGGAGCUUGCGGCUUAAUUUGACUCAACACGGGAAAACUCACCCGGUCCGGACACUAUUAGGACUGACAGAUUGAAAGCUCUUUCUCGAUUUGGUGGUUGGUGGUGCAUGGCCGUUCUUAGUUGGUGGAGUGAUUUGUCUGGUUUAUUCCGAUAACGAGCGAGACUCUAGCCUGCUAAAUAGUCGACGAAUCUUCGGGUUCGUAUAACUUCUUAGAGGGAUAAGCGGUGUUUAGCCGCACGAGAUUGAGCGAUAACAGGUCUAGUGAUGCCCUUAGAUGUCCGGGGCUGCACGCGUGCUACACUGGUGGAGUCAGCGGGUUUUUCCUAUGCCGAAAGGUAUCGGUAAACCGUUGAACUUCUUCCAUGUCCGGGAUAGGGUAUUGUAAUUAUUACCCUUAAACGAGGAAUGCCUAGUAAGUGUGAGUCAUCAGCUCACGUUGAUUACGUCCCUGCCCUUUGUACACACCGCCCGUCGCUAUCCGGGACUGAACUGAUUCGAGAAGAGUGGGGACUGUGGCUGCGAGGUUUUACCACUUCGCAGUUGCGGAAACCAUUUUUAUCGCAUUGGUUUGAACCGGGUAAAAGUCGUAACAAGGUAGCUGUAGGUGAACCUGCAGCUGGAUCAUCG
rnacentral:ncRNA from 1 species